rnacentral:rRNA from 1 species
UACGUAGGGUGCGAGCGUUGUCCGGAAUUAUUGGGCGUAAAGAGCUUGUAGGCGGUUUGUCGCGUCUGCCGUGAAAAUUCGAGGCUCAACCUCGAACUUGCGGUGGGUACGGGCAGACUAGAGUGUGGUAGGGGAGACUGGAAUUCCUGGUGUAGCGGUGAAAUGCGCAGAGAUCAGGAGGAACACCCAUGGCGAAGGCAGCUCUCUGGCCUCACCCUGACGCUGAGGCGCGAAAGCGUGGGGAGCAAACAGG